rnacentral:rRNA from 1 species
UACGUAGGUGACCAGCGUUGUCCGGAUUUACUGGGCGUAAAGAGCGCGCAGGCGGUCGUUCAAGUCGAGUGUGAAAGCCCCCGGCUCAACUGGGGAGGGUCAUUCGAUACUGAUCGACUUGAAGGCAGGAGAGGGAAGUGGAAUUCCCGGUGUAGUGGUGAAAUGCGUAGAUAUCGGGAGGAACACCAGUGGCGAAGGCGGGUCUCUGGGCCGAUACUGACGCUGAGGAGCGAAAGCGUGGGGAGCGAACAGG